rnacentral:rRNA from 1 species
GACGAACGCUGGCGGCGUGCUUAACACAUGCAAGUCGAACGAGGCCCCUCCUUCGGGAGGGUGUCCUAGUGGCGAACGGGUGAGUAACACGUGGGCAACCUGCCCCCGGCUCUGGGAUAACCCCAAGAAAUUGGGGCUAAUACCGGAUAUGACCGCUGACCGCAUGGUCGGUGGUGGAAAGUUUUUUCGGCUGGGAUGGGCCCGCGGCCGAUCAGCUUGUUGGUGGGGUAGUGGCCUACCAAGGCGCCGACGGGUAGCCGGCCUGAGAGGGUGACCGGCCACACUGGGACUGAGACACGGACCAGACUCCUACGGGAGGCAGCAGUGGGGAAUAUUGCGCAAUGGGCGGAAGCCUGACGCAGCGACGCCGCGUGGGGGAUGACGGCCUUGGGGUUGUAAACCUCUUUCAGCAGGGACGAAGCGAAAGUGACGGUACCUGCAGAAGAAGCACCGGCCAACUACGUGCCAGCCGCCGCGGUAA